UACAAUUAUGGAAGCUCCAGUUACAGCGGAAUCAGAAAAGGCUGUGCUUCAUCCUCGGUCUGUACAGCUGCAGGGUCUGAGUUUGUUUCUUAUGACACUGGCUCCAGGUCUUACCUCAGAAACUACACAUGCUGCAACACAGACGACUGCAACGCUCCAAACCCGACCUCGCCCCCUGUUGGCUCUCUGCAGUGUUACGGCUGUGAUCCUUACUCUUAUGAAUGCACUGCCAAUGUGAGCUGUAACACCCAGGAGGUGUGUGGACAGGCUGUGGUUGACCAGUAUAACCCAUCCCGUCCAUUUUACGGCUGUGUCUCUGAGAAUCUGUGCAACAACACCAACCUGUCACGACGAUAUUUAAGCUUCAGUACCUCAGUGUCCUGCUGCAACACUUCCCACUGCAACA